rnacentral:rRNA from 1 species
GGAGGGGGAUUGGCAUGUGGGGACCUGAUCCAGCCAUGCCGCGUGUGUGAAGAAGGCCUUAUGGUUGUAAAGCACUUUAAGCGAGGAGGAGGCUACUAGUAUUAAUACUACUGGAUAGUGGACGUUACUCGCAGAAUAAGCACCGGCUAACUCUGUGCCAGCAGCCGCGGUAAUACAGAGGGUGCGAGCGUUAAUCGGAUUUACUGGGCGUAAAGCGUGCGUAGGCGGCCAUUUAAGUCAAAUGUGAAAUCCCCGAGCUUAACUUGGGAAUUGCAUUCGAUACUGGAUGGCUAGAGUAUGGGAGAGGAUGGUAGAAUUCCAGGUGUAGCGGUGAAAUGCGUAGAGAUCUGGAGGAAUACCGAUGGCGAAGGCAGCCAUCUGGCCUAAUACUGACGCUGAGGUACGAAAGCAUGGGGAGCAAACAGGAUUAGAUACCCUGGUAGUCCAUGCCGUAAACGAUGUCUACUAGCCGUUGGGGCCUUUGAGGCUUUAGUGGCGCAGCUAACGCGAUAAGUAGACCGCCUGGGGAGUACGGUCGCAAGACUAAAACUCAAAUGAAUUGACGGGGGCCCGCACAAGCGGUGGAGCAUGUGGUUUAAUUCGAUGCAACGCGAAGAACCUUACCUGGCCUUGACAUACUAGAAACUUUCCAGAGAUGGAUUGGUGCCUUCGGGAAUCUAGAUACAGGUGCUGCAUGGCUGUCGUCAGCUCGUGUCGUGAGAUGUUGGGUUAAGUCCCGCAACGAGCGCAACCCUUUUCCUUACUUGCCAGCAUUUCGGAUGGGAACUUUAAGGAUACUGCCAGUGACAAACUGGAGGAAGGCGGGGACGACGUCAAGUCAUCAUGGCCCUUACGGCCAGGG